CGCUGGGAUCAGGAUUUCUCCUUUCUUAGCUGGUUCCUGCUGCUAGGGGAUGAGAGGCUGGGAAGGGAGGACUGGGCUGUCUCCUGCUUCAGUCAACAAAGUGAAUCAGACAAAGAAUGAGGCUGGACUCAUCAAGGAGAAGAAGCCUUGCUGCUACUGUGCCAAUGCAGAUGACAGAGAUGAAUGUCCCAUCACUCUGGGGGUAAGAGGGCCACAUUCUCUCUAUGCUUCCAACUUGUGAUGAGAGAGUUCCUGGAGUCCCCAACAUCAGAUUUCAGAGCCAAUAUCUGUCUUGCUCAACUGGACCACACCCUUGCUGUUUGCUAAGCCUGUUCUCCUUACUCAUCAAUUUGAUGCAUUUUCCCUGUGCUUCCAAGCUUUGCUGAUACACCCCAGUAUGUGUCCAGAUGUGGGCAUGUGCAUUAUUCUGGUGCACUCUUCUGACAGAAGCUCAUGGACAAGUCAGAAAAUGUUGGGGAGAGAUUUUCUGUUGAAUGUCUAUAUAUUUCACAAUUGUGAAGGGGAAAUUACCAAGAAGGCCUACCCACCUCUGGAGAAAGAAGCCCAUUUCUGAGCUGUGAAUCUGACUUGUGGGGUCUGCUGGCUUGGAAAAGAUUCAGUUGUUUCUGGCUGUCCUUUGAAUCAGUAAAGAUCUCAGAGCUAAAAGGUGCUGAGAUCCUGUGUGGCUGACCUCAUCAGAAUUCAUCAGUGAGUAUGCACUGGACUCCUGAAACAAUGUCCUUCCUGGUGUGCUAAGGAUGUAUGUGGACUGGAGGCAGGGGUGAAGGCCAGCACCAUUCAUGGACCCUCACGUUCUUUUCACCUAUAGUCUCUCAAAACUGCACACUGAUAGUAGCCCUGAUCCUUGGAGCUGGGCAUGUUAUUACUAAACAGAUGUCAAGAAUUUGAAAGAAGGCAAGAAGAAAUCUGUUUUUAACUAAUCCAAGUGGGAAACAGGUAUUUACUUUUUCACAUAAUUAGAAAGCCUGAGCUUGGAACCAAAUAUCUACACUGACUUCAAGAAUAUCAAGUCCCUCUCUUUCCAUCUACUUCCCUCUUCCUUCUCCUUUCUUUCCCUUUCCCAUGUCUUAGUUCUGCUUCUCUCAAUAGGUUGUCCUUGGCCUGUCCUCCUAUAGUAAGGCAUCCUCCAUGUAGCUAGCAGAAAGAGGCACAGGCAUAUCCAGCUCUAGGCUUCCAUUAGCUUAAUUUUCUGAGCAUGAAAUAGAUAGAAAACUUACUUAGCCUAUACACAAUCCAGAGAAGUUAUCUAGUCUAGGUUGGUGACAGACUCACCAUUGUGCAGUCACUGUGGCCAGAGGGGUGGCGUACCCUGAGUGACCUGACCUGGAUCACAUGCCCACCCUUAGUGGGACAGAACACUGUGAUUCACAGCCUGUGUAGAACCACAUUAUGUGGAGGAGGGGCAGCUUCCUAGUGAAAUGUCUGGAAUGGGGAACCAUGACAAAAUAGGACAUGAGAAGGAGACUACUAGACCAUUUUAGAAAUGGAGGAAAGACUCUUCUCUGCAGUUCACAACGGUGAGCAGUGGAGUGAAAAACAACUUUUGCAGAGUCUUCCUUAAUUGAUGGGGGUAAAAGAAUAGACACAGACAAAAUAAAGUAAAGCUCUAGGCAUAUCUACAAUAUUCCACCAUGAAGUAGAGUGGCCCAAUUCUGUAAUUAAGUGGAAGUGGGAACUUUCGAAAUGUUGCAGCCUAUCCUCAUUAUCAGCCUUAAAAAAAAAAAAGUCCAAAUAAUAGAUACAGCUUCUGCUGGAUGCCUAGUCUUAUGUUCAUCACACAAGGGAUAAUAAUGAUGACAAUGAUAUCCUCGGGUCAAAAAAUAUGCCAUAAGUCAGCUGGGUUUAGUGAUUGAUAGACCUGUGCAUUUUCAAAUUAUGUGUUGGCUCAGGGAAGGAGGUAACACAAUUAGGCUUGAUAGACUCAGGGUGGAGGGAAGUGAUGUGACUCUUAGAAGUGAUACACAUAAUAGAGUUCUGAGUAUCAACUCCAUGUCAAACUCCCUCCAUUGCUUUAUUUUACUGUCUUAUUCAAUCCUUCAGCAACUUCCACUAGAGAGAGGCGAUUAUAUAUUUUUUUUAACUUAAAGAAGAGAUUGAAACACAAAGGAGAUUUCCUUGUAUAAGGUCAGUGUCAAGGUGAAAACCUGUUUUUGCUACAGCACCACAAACAAACCAACGAAAGCCAUCAGCAGCCGCCACACACUAUGUCAAGAUACUUUCUUCCAACGCUGUUAGAAUUAUUGGAAUAGGAAGACAAAGAAGUUUAGAAUCACAAAAGAAUGAAUAAGAAAUGUGCUGGUCUUGAAGGCUAUAUAAUGUCAGCCAGAAUGAGUAGGGGAAAGGAAAGCCAUACAUUGGGAUUGACAUUGCAAAGAACUGAAGCUUUUAAAGAUUGAGUAUUUCCAUUGUGAGCACUUGACACCAUAAAGCUAUCUUCCAGAAAUGCACAGUAAAAGAGUAAAUAGAUGAUACAUGAAUGAAUGAAUGGAUGGGUGUUCAUUCAUUCAGCAUUUUUUACUUAUAAACUUUCAUUAUUAAUUCACAUGAUAUAUUAUGUCUGCUUGAGUCUUUGCGGAAUUGAACAAAUCAAUAUGUUCUUCAUCUCAUUUCCACAAAGCUUUCCACAAGAAUGAAGGUGAGAGGAGGUGUCUAUUCCCUGCUCCCUUCCCACUCAUUCUCAACCCCAGAUAUCCUUUCUUCAAGGGUUCGUAAAUCUCUGCCUUAGCAACAGACUGCACCAGUGUCUGACAAAUAAAACUUCAUGUGAAUUACAAUUUUUAAAAAAAAUAUAGGACAGUGAAAAUGAAGCUUUGUGGUGGCUGCUUAAUUUGGAGGGCAUUAUUUUUAGCUUUGCAAAGGACCAGUGGCACGAAAACAAUUAGGAUCUUUUGUCAAGUUAAUUAAAUUUUAGUAAGUGUAGUAAUCUCAGUGGGCUUCAUACACCAGAGGUAAAACUAAUUAAAACGCAAAUUCUUCCUAGCCUAAUAAGGAGUUCUAACUUGGAUAGCUGAGGAAUGUUGUGCAUACUGAGAGAUAUUCAAAACUAAUUUAUAAUGAGAUGAGGGCAAACCCUUAAAUGGCUCAGUUCUGUUGAAGGCUCACUUGAGAACACCAAUAAGUUAAACUGGAGGCUGCCACUUAAGGUAAAAAGAAAAAAAGCAGACUGGCAAGCUUUGCUGGGUGCAGGAGAAAAAUGGAUCCAGCUUAGACAAGUAAGGAUGGGGAGGCCAGUAGAAAUGAGAUAUCCAAGUUUUCUCUAAAAAGUGCUAUUUUCUCCCCAGGUUUCUUCUCUUCAUUAAAUUCUCCAAGGGCAGGCUGAGCUAACGGCAAUUGCUUUUCUUGUAGUAUUAUUUUCUUAGAAAGCUACCUGGAGCAAGAUUAUUUAGUUCACAAGGAUUCAGAUCAGUAGUUAAUCCACACCACAUCUCCUGUGUGGCACUGACAGACCCAUUUUUAAGAUAAAGCCAUUGAACAACUGAAAAAAAAAAAAAAAAAAAGAAGAAGAAAAAAAAAACAAC